AGAGCGAACGCUGGCGGCAGGCUUAACACAUGCAAGUCGAGCGGGCGUAGCAAUACGUCAGCGGCAGACGGGUGAGUAACGCGUGGGAACAUACCUCUUGGUUCGGAACAACACAGGGAAACUUGUGCUAAUACCGGAUAAGCCCUUACGGGGAAAGAUUUAUCGCCGAGAGAUUGGCCCGCGUCUGAUUAGCUAGUUGGUAGGGUAAUGGCCUACCAAGGCGACGAUCAGUAGCUGGUCUGAGAGGAUGAUCAGCCACAUUGGGACUGAGACACGGCCCAAACUCCUACGGGAGGCAGCAGUGGGAAUAUUGGACAAUGGGGGCAACCCUGAUCCAGCCAUGCCGCGUGAGUGAUGAAGGCCCUAGGGUUGUAAAGCUCUUUUGUGCGGGAAGAUAAUGACGGUACCGCAAGAAUAACGCCCGGCUAACUUCGUGCCAGCAGCCGC
rnacentral:rRNA from 1 species